UUCUGUGCACAUUUAAAUAUUCAAGGUUACCGAUGAUAAUUCAAAAUAGCACAGUUUUUGGUUUAUACGCUCGUUUUCGUGGGCCAUUUUUAUUUAUAAAAUUAUUUCAUUGAAAGUUAUUCAGAAUUCCGAUGUUACAACAAAAUACUCACCCAUCUAUUUAAAAACCGAGCUUACGCAAAAUAUAAAAAAUAUAUAUAACGGCGAUUCAGGUAUUUUGCCACCAUAUUCCUCCCCAAAUAAUUAUUUUUUUCUGUCUCAAACCCACAUUUCUCUUUUAUCAUUUUUGUUUUAUCUUUUUCAAACCGGAAAAUAAUUUUUGUUCGUAAUUAUUCGAUCUCAUUCCAAUAAGACAAAGUUGACCUUAAAUUUCCUGUCAACUUUUUAAACAUCUUUCUUCAAAUGGCUGAAGUAUUUAUACGUUGUGAGAUUUAAAAUAUUUUGAUAAGGACACUAAUUCCUGAAUAUGUAAAUAAAGAUCGCUUUGGACGGACCAAAUUAUAUAAUUGCAAUUGGUAAUUAUCUAUUUCAAAUAUGCAAGGUUACCGAUUCUAAUUUAAAAUAGUACAAUUUUUAUACGACCGCAAAAAAAUUUUUGUGGUCGUAUAUUGGUAUGACGUUGGCGUCGUCGUCGUCGUCGUCGUCGUCGUCGUCGUCGUCCGGCGUCGUCGUCCGAAUACACAUUAGUUUUCGCACUCUAACUUUAGUUUAAGUGAAUGGAUCUCAUUGAAAUUUUACCAUAAGGUUCAAUACACCAAAAGGAAGGUGGGGAUUGAUUUUGGGGGUUAUGGUACUAACAGUUAAGGAAUUAGGGGCCAAAAGAGGCCAAAAAUAAGCAUUUUUGUAACUUCCAGACAUAACUUGUGUGUAAGUGUAUGGAUCUCUCUGACAUUGUACCACAAGGUUCCAUAUCACAAAGGGAAUGCUGGGAUUGAUUUUGGGGGUAAUUGUCUCCAAAUUUUAGGAAUUAGGGGCCAAAAAGGGGCAAAAAACAAGCAUUUUUCUAGUUUCAUGACAAUAACUUGUUUGUAAGUGUAUGGAUCUUUAUGAAAUUGUACUACAAGGUUCCAUAUCACAAAGGGAAUACUGGGAUUGAUUUUUGGGGUAAUUUCCUCCAAAUAUUAGGAAUUAGGGGCCAAAAAGGGGCAAAAAACAAGCAUUUUUCUAGUUUCAUGACAAUAACUUGUUUGUAAGUGUAUGGAUCUUUAUGAAAUUGUACUACAAGGUUCCAUAUCACAAAGGAAAGGCUGGGAUUGAUUUUGGGGGUUUUCCCUCAAAAUUUUAGUAAUUAGGGGCCAUUAAAGGGCAAAAAAAACAUGCAUUUUUCUAGUUUCAGGACAAUAACUUGUGUGUAAGUGUAUGGAUCGUUAUGAAAUUGUACUGCAAGGUUCCAUAUCACAAAGGGAAAGCUGGAAUUGAGUUUGGGGGUAAUUGCCCUAAACGUUUAGGAAUUUGGGGCCAAAAAGGGGCCAAAAAACAAGCAUUUUUCUAGUUUCCAGACAAUAACUUGUGUUCAAGUGUAUGAAUCUCUCUGAAAUUGUACUGCAAGGUACCAUACCACAAAGGGAAAGCUGGGAUUGAGUUUGGGGGCGAUGAAUCUUAAGGGGUUCAAAAAAUUGGGGGGGGGGAUUUUUUUUUUCCUUUUUUUUUCUUUAACAUUUUCCAUUUUAAAUUGGUUAUUUCUGAUUUAUAUAUAAAAGCAAAUAAUAAUGAUAUGGUUUGAAUAGGCAUACAUGUGAACCUCCCGACGGGAGUACAAUAAUCCCGUUUUCAGGGGUCUCCUCCCCCCCCCCUCCCGUUGAAAAAAUCCCGUGUAUGAAAUUUUUCAUGAAUGAAAAAUUUCUGCCCAACAUAACAUCUCAGGCAUCUGGUGUAACUGACAUUACCUGAAGUUAUAUUUUACCUGUAAAUCAAUUAACAUGCAUAAUUAUAUGGCUUCACUUGUCAGCUUGGGUGUCAAACAUACUGGUAAGCAACGAUUUUUACCUCAGGCUAACUGCCGUUGUGUAACAAAAACUGUGUAUUUAUUGGGUUACUUCCCUUGAUUUAUCCUGUUUUAAGUUACUUUCCUUUUAAUAAUGAAAAUUUUUAAAAGAAUAUAAAUAAAAUAUAAAUUGAACAAAUAAUCAUAAAAGGAUGGUUAUUAAAUGAUUUUAAAUGUCUUAGGACAAAUAAAAAAAUAAUAAUUUGAAAAUUAUUUGAGGAUUCUAUACUUCCUUUUAAGGCUUAAAUUGAAAUUUAUAUAAUAACUAUGACCCUAACUUUACAGAUAGAAUGAAUUUCUGAGUUUGCAAAUAAAAACUAUUUGCAAGAGAAAAAAAAAAAAAAAUAAAAA